UGCCAAUGGCCAGCGUGUUGCCUGCCACCCCCCAUUUAUACGGCCUCCAGUUUUCCUCCUCAUCCUUCCGCCCCAAAUCCUCAGUCCGCUCCGCUUCUCUCAAAUUCUUCUAUAGUCCCGCUCAGGCGUUAUCUACCUCAUCAGCUAUGCAAGUGCCUGGGGCUGUCUCAGAGAAGGAAAUGCCUCUGGGAAUAGAUGCAACAAUUGAAGCAGAAUAUGCUUCUCAGGCUAAAUUGCUUCAAGAAUUUAGUAAUAUCCCUAGCAUUGACAAGGCAUGGAUUUUCAAGUCUGAUGGUGCAAACUGUUCUAGGGCAAUGUUUUCUACUGGGCAAGUGAAUCUGUUGGCUAACAAAAAACGGACAGUUAUUCUAUCAUCUCAUGUUUCAAAGACAAGUAAACAGUCAGUGGAUUUCCAGUGGACCCCCUUUCCUAUAGAAAUGACUGGUGUGUCCACAAUUGUCCCAUCACCAUCAGGUUCAAAGCUUCUUGUGGUUCGGAAUAAAGAAAAAGAAUCCCCUACACAGCUUGAAAUAUGGGGUCCGUCUCUGUUGGAGAAGGAGAUUCAUAUUCCACAAUCUGUUCAUGGCUCGCUAUAUACUGAUGGAUGGUUUGAGGGAGUUUCCUGGAAUCACAAAGAAACUCUCAUUGCUUAUGUUGCGGAAGAGCCAUCUCCAUUAAAACCAGCAUUUAAUGAUUUGGGCUACAAGAAAGAAGGUUGUUCUGAGAAGGACUGUGGUAGCUGGAAAGGCCAAGGAGAUUGGGAAGAGGACUGGGGUGAAACCUAUUCAAAAAAAAGAAAACCUUCAUUGUUUGUUGUCAACAUUAACAGUGGAGAAGUACAGGCCAUUCAAGGCAUUUCAAAAUCCUUAACUGUUGGUCAAGUUGUUUGGGCUCCAUCAUCUUCCCAUGGAUGUCACAAUUACUUGGUUUUUGUUGGGUGGUCAUCAGAAAAUGGUCCAAACCAGACUCCAAGAAAGCUCGGUAUUAAGUAUUGUUACAAUAGGCCAUGUGCCUUAUAUGCAAUUAGGGCUCCUUUUCAAGAACUGAAAGCUAAUGAAGUACCAUUAAAUGAUAAUGAAAUGGACAAUUCAGCAACUGAGAUCAAUUUAACUCAUGGCUUAAGUAGCGCUUUCUUUCCGCGGUUUAGUCCAGAUGGAAAGUCCCUUGUAUUUCUAUCUGCAAAAACUGCUGUUGAUAGCGGUGCACAUUCAGCCACAAAUUCACUUCAUAGAAUUGACUGGCCUGCCGACAGGAAAUUGCAGUCCUCUUUAAAUAUUAUAGAUGUGGUUCGUGUUGUUGUGUGCCCUGAGGAUGGUUGUUUCCCUGGACUUUAUUGUUCCAGCUUUCUCUCUGAUCCAUGGCUUUCCGAUGGACGUACAAUGAUUUUGUCUUCUGUAUGGGGUAGCACCAAUGUAAUACUUUCAGUAAACAUUUUGAGCUGCGAAAUAUCACGUUUAACUCCCAAUGACUCGAGCUACUCAUGGAAUGUUCUUGCACUGGAUGAGGACAAUAUUCUUGCUGUGUCAAGCAGCCCUAUAGAUCCUCCUCAAAUCAAGUAUGGAUACCAUACUGGUCAGAUGGAUCAAUCAAACACGUGGAAUUGGUUAAACAUUUCAAGUCCUUUUGUGAGAUACUCUGAUAAGGUGAAAUCUUUCCUAUCAUCACUUCAGUUUAGUAUAAUGAAGAUUCCAGUUAGUGAUCCUUCAGAAAUCCUUUCUAAAGGUGCCAGAAAACCAUAUGAGGCUAUUUUUAUAUCGAACAAAGAGAAUAAGAUAGAUGGUGCGCGCAAUCCACUAAUUGUAAUUCUUCAUGGUGGUCCACAUUCAGUUUCAUUGACAAGCUACUCUAAGUCGUUGGCAUUUCUCUCUUCACUAGGCUACACCUUGCUUAUUGUAAAUUAUAGAGGCUCAUUGGGAUUUGGAGAGGAAGCAUUGCAAUCUCUUCCAGGGAAAGUUGGGUCUCAGGAUGUGAAUGAUGUACUUGCAGCUUUAGACUAUGUCACUGGAAAGGGACUAGUGGAUGCAUCUAAAGUAGCUGUUCUUGGAGGUUCACAUGGAGGUUUCUUAACAACUCAUUUAAUUGGCCAGGCUCCAGAUAGAUUUGUUGUGGCAGCUGUCCGAAAUCCUGUUUGUAACCUAUCAUUAAUGCUUGGUACUACUGACAUCCCUGAUUGGUGUUAUGUAGAGGCCUUUGGGUCAGACGGAAAAAGUUACUUCUCAGAGGCUCCUUCAGCUGAAUAUUUAAGUCUCUUUUAUAGCAAAUCUCCAAUCGCACAUAUCUCAAAGGUUAAAACACCUGUCCUUUUCCUCUUGGGAGCACAGGAUCUUCGUGUUCCAGUUUCUAAUGGUCUCCAGCUUUGAGUUAGAGCAAUGCAACAAAAUAGCAGCAGAAGACCUGACAUGAAGCUUUCGUAUUUCUGAAAAGCAGCAGAUGAAAAUAACUUCAGCUCCUCAUAGGGCUGCAAAGUAAAGCAUUAAAAAACAUUUAUGACUUUGAACAAUCCUAAUAAAGCUGUCACAUUAUUUAUUUUUGAUGUGGAGUGACAUAAAGGAGUUCAAACUGGCGUCCUACCUCACAUCUUCAGCCUGUUUCUUUACCACAUCAAAGAUUACAUGUGUCAUUUGAUUGGAAGUAUGCGAGGACUCUCAGGGAGAAAGGUGUUGAGGUCAAAGUGAUUGUAUUUCCUGAAGAUGUCCAUGGAAUCGAGAG